rnacentral:rRNA from 1 species
ACAAGGAGCAAUCUGAGGUGGCGACCGGCGCACGGGUGAGUAACACGUAUGCAACCUGCCUGUAAGCGGGGAAUAACCCGUUGAAAGAACGGACUAAUACCGCAUAAUACUAAAUUACUGCAUGGUAAUUUAUUUAAACAUUUAUGGCUUACAGAUGGGCAUGCGCAUGAUUAGCUAGUUGGAGAGGUAACGGCUCCCCAAGGCAACGAUCAUUAGGGGUUCUGAGAGGAAGGUCCCCCACACUGGUACUGAGACACGGACCAGACUCCUACGGGAGGCAGCAGUGAGGAAUAUUGGUCAAUGGACGAGAGUCUGAACCAGCCAAGUCGCGUGCAGGAAGAAUGUCCCUAUGGAUUGUAAACUGCUUUUGCAGGGGAAUAAAGUGCAUCACGUGUGAUGUUUUGUAUGUACUCUGCGAAUAAGGAUCGGCUAACUCCGUGCCAGCCGCAGC